AUUGAACGCUGGCGGCAGGCCUAACACAUGCAAGUCGAGCGAGCGGCGGACGGGUGAGUAAUGUCUGGGAAACUGCCUGCUGGAGGGGGAUAACUACUGGAAACGGUAGCUAAUACCGCAUACCAUCAGAUGUGCCCAGAUGGGAUUAGCUCGUAGGUGGGGUAACGGCUCACCUAGGCGACGAGCCCUAGCUGGUCUGAGAGGCUGACCCGCACCAGUGGAGCUGAGACACGGUCCAGACUCCUACGGGAGGCAGCAGUGGGGAAUAUUGCACAAUGGGCGCAAGUCUGACGCAGCCAUGCCGCGUGUAUGAAGAAGGCAUUAGGGUUGUAAAGUACUUUAGGCGGGGAGGCGUUACCCGCAGAAGAAGCACCGGCUAACUCCGUGCCAGCCGCCGCGGUAAUAC
rnacentral:rRNA from 1 species